rnacentral:rRNA from 1 species
UACGUAGGGUGCAAGCGUUGUCCGGAAUUAUUGGGCGUAAAGAGCUCGUAGGCGGUUUGUCGCGUCUGCUGUGAAACUCGGGGCUUAACCCCGGCCUGCAGUGGGUACGGGCAGACUAGAGUGCGGUAGGGGAGACUGGAAUUCCUGGUGUAGCGGUGAAAUGCGCAGAUAUCAGGAGGAACACCGGUGGCGAAGGCGGGUCUCUGGGCCGAUACUGACGCUGAGGAGCGAAAGCGUGGGGAGCGAACAGG